UACGUAGGGGGCAAGCGUUGUCCGGAAUCAUUGGGCGUAAAGAGCGUGUAGGCGGCCUGGUAAGUCCGCUGUGAAAGUCCAGGGCUCAACCCUGGAAUGCCGGUGGAAACUGUCAGGCUCGAGUCCGGAAGAGGCGAGUGGAAUUCCUGGUGUAGCGGUGAAAUGACGCAGAUAUCAGGAGGAACACCAAUGGCGAAGGCAGCUCGCUGGGACGGUACUGACGCUGAGACGCGAAAGCGUGGGGAGCAAACAGG
rnacentral:rRNA from 1 species